rnacentral:rRNA from 1 species
AUACGGAGGGUACAAGCGUUAAUCGGAAUUACUGGGCGUAAAGCGUACGCAGGUGGCUAGGUCAGUCGGAUGUGAAAGCCCUGGGCUUAACCUGGGAAUUGCAUUCGAUACUGCCUGGCUAGAGGGCAGUAGAGGAAGGCGGAAUUCCCGGUGUAGCGGUGAAAUGCGUAGAGAUCGGGAGGAACACCAGUGGCGAAGGCGGCUCUCUGGCUUAAAACUGACGCUGAGGUACGAAAGCGUGGGUAGCAAACAGGAUUAGAUACCCCAGUAGUCC